GACGAACGCUGGCGGCGUGCUUAACACAUGCAAGUCGAACGGAAAGGCCCCUUCGGGGGUCCUCGAGUGGCGAACAGGUGAGUAACACGUGAGUAACCUUCCCUUGCCUUCGGGAUAACUUCAGGAAACUGGGGCUAAUACCGGAUAGGAAUCCUUGCUGCAUGGUGGGGGUUGGAAAGCUUCGGCGGUUUUGGAUGGACUCGCGGCUUAUCAGCUUGUUGGUGGGGUAGUGGCUUACCAAGGCUUUGACGGGUAGCCGGCCUGAGAGGGCGACCGGCCACAUUGGGACUGAGAUACGGCCCAGACUCCUACGGGAGACAGUAGUGGGAAAUAUUGCACAAUGGGCGGAAGCCUGAUGCAGCAGCGCCGCGUGCGGGAUGACGGCCUUCGGGUUGUAAACCGCUUUCAGCAGGGGCGAAGCUUGUGGUGACGGUACCUGAAGAAGAAGCACCGGCUAACUACGU
rnacentral:rRNA from 1 species